rnacentral:rRNA from 1 species
CCUACGGGGGGCAGCAGUGGGGAAUAUUGGACAAUGGGGGAAACCCUGAUCCAGCGACGCCGCGUGAGUGAAGAAGUAUUUCGGUAUGUAAAGCUCUAUCAGCAGGGAAGAAAAUGACGGUACCUGACUAAGAAGCCCCGGCUAACUACGUGCCAGCAGCCGCGGUAAUACGUAGGGGGCAAGCGUUAUCCGGAUUUACUGGGUGUAAAGGGAGCGUAGACGGCAUAGCAAGUCUGAUGUGAAAGAUCGGGGCUCAACCCCGGGCCUGCAUUGGAAACUGUUAAGCUGGAGUACAGGAGAGGUAAGCGGAAUUCCUAGUGUAGCGGUGAAAUGCGUAGAUAUUAGGAGGAACACCAGUGGCGAAGGCGGCUUACUGGACUGUAACUGACGUUGAGGCUCGAAAGCGUGGGGAGCAAACAGGAUUAGAUACCCUUGUAG